CCUGACCGCUGAUCCCGGAUUUUGGGAUCCACUCCUGGUUUUUUGGCCAAUCCAGGUUUUUGGGCUGAUCCUGGAUUUCAGGAUCCACUCCCAAAUUUCGGGAUCUGCUCCUGGAUCUCAGAAUCUGUUCCUGGAUUCCAGGAUCCACUCCCAGAUUUCAGGAUCUGUUCCUGGAUUCCGGGAUCCGUUCCAAAUUUCCAGGAUCCAUUCCCAGAUUUCAGGAUCCCCUCCCGGAUUUCGGGAUCCACUCCCGGAUUUUGGGAUCCGUUCCCAGUUUUCCGGAUCCUUUCCCGGUUUUCAGGAUCCAUUCCCAGAUUUCGAGAUCCACUCCAGGAUUUCCGGAUCCAUUCCCAGAUUUCGAGAUCCACUCCAGGAUUUCCGGAUCCAUUCCAGGAUUUCGAGAUCCACUCCAGGAUUUCAGGAUCCCCUCCUGGAUUUCGGGAUCCACUCCCAGAUUUCAGGAUCCAUUCCCAGAUUCCGGGAUCCAUUCCCGGAUUUCAGGAUCCAUUCCCGGAUUUCCAGAUCCACUCCCAGAUUUCAGGAUCCACUCCCAGAUUUCAGGAUCCGUUCCCAGAUUCCGGGAUCCACUGCCAGAUUUUGGGAUCCAUUCCCGGAUUCCGGGAUCCACUGCCAGAUUUUGGGAUCCAUUCCCGGAUUCCGGGAUCCAUUCCCGGAUCCCGGGAUCCGUUCCCGCUGAUCCGUUCCCUCCCCGCAGGAUCCGACGCUGAAGUUGAGCCUCGCCCGCAGCAUCUCCAUGAUCGGCCGAGCCCUGGCCAGAGGCAGCUCCCAGAAUUCCGGGAAUUGCGGGAAAUUCGGGAAUGGCUCCGGGAAUUCCGGGAAUGACCUCGGGAAUUUCGAGAAUGAUUCCGGGAAUUCCGGGAAUUCUGGGAAUGAGCCCCGGAAGGGCCCCGGGGGCUCCGUCAGCAUCGCCCACAAGGCCGAGCUGGUGGCGCUGCUGGUGGUGAGACUGGGAGGGAACUGGGAUGGACUGGGAUGGACUGGGAUGGACUGGGAGGGACUGGGAGGGACUGGGAGGGACUGGGAUGGACUGGGAUGGACUGGGAUGGACUGGGAUGGACUGGGAGGGACUGGGAUGGACUGGGAUGGACUGGGAGGGACUGGGAGGGACUGGGAUGGACUGGGAU
rnacentral:lncRNA from 1 species